AUGCAUGAUCUCAUGCAUGAUCUUGCUAACUCGAUAAGUGGAAAUGAUUGCUCCAUUCUGCAAGAAUCUUCAUCAUGUCAAGAAAUUCUGCAAGAACCCACAGAUGCCAGCUCAUUACAGCAUGAGGUUCGCCAUUUGUCUCUUGAUUAUAUCAGUAAUAAAGCUAUUGCAGCCAUGAAGGAAAUUCUAGCUCCCCGACCCUGCACAAUAUUAACCCAACCGGAGUGGGAUUGGUCUUGGACUCCUCUGAGUAUGGAGAAAAAGCAUGAGAUUAUGAGCAGUCUUCGGCACAUCUUCUUCGUUGGGUGUCAUCUUUUGGAGCGCAUGCCAAAGGGUAUUGGUCAGCUGAAUUCUCUACAGACAUUGACGAGUUAUGUCAUUGAUAGUGAUGUAGAAGGAAUAUUAGAGGCCCUCCGUCCUCAUAAAAGGCUUGAAGUUUUACUGUUAUCUAAUUAUCCUGGUGCUAAAUUGUCAUCAUGGAUGCACAACUCUACAUUGUUAGAACAUAUCACUGAACUUUCUCCGGUUGGAUGUAAGAGCUUUAAUGAUUUUCCACCAUUGUGGCAGCUGCCCUCUCCCAGGUACUUGGAUUUGGAUAGUUUGGAUAGCUUGACAAGUAUAUGCCUUGGUAACGAUGAUAAAGACAAUGUGAAAUUCUGCAUUUCCCCACUACCCCUUUUUCCUAAGUUGGAAACCAUGAUAGUUUCCAACAUGCCUAAGCUAGAGAGAUGGCACCAGGAGGUGACAGGACAAAUAGCGGUUGUAUCAUUCCCUCAGCUCAAGAAGCUAAAUAUUUCUAAAUGCCCAAUGCUAGCAAGCAUGCCCAAGAUGCUCCCUUUGCUUGAAGAUCUACAGGUGAAGGGGCAAGAGAUAUUCCCCUUUACCAUCUGA
rnacentral:rRNA from 1 species